GCUGGGUGUGGUGGGGCACACCUGUAAUCCCAGCUACUUGGGAGGCUGAGACAGGAGAAUCGCUUGAACCCGGGAGGCGGAGGUUGCAGUGAGCCUAGAUCAUGCCACUGCACUCCAGCCUGGGCAACAGAGCAAGACUCUGUCUCGA
rnacentral:SRP_RNA from 1 species